GAUGAACGCUGGCGGCGUGCCUAAUACAUGCAAGUCGAACGCUGAAGGAGGAGCUUGCUCUUCUGGAUGAGUUGCGAACGGGUGAGUAACGCGUAGGUAACCUGCCUGGUAGCGGGGGAUAACUAUUGGAAACGAUAGCUAAUACCGCAUGACAACAGUUAUUGCAUGAUAACUGUUUAAAAGGGGCAACUGCUCCACUACCAGAUGGACCUGCGUUGUAUUAGCUAGUUGGUGAGGUAACGGCUCACCAAGGCGACGAUACAUAGCCGACCUGAGAGGGUGGUCGGCCACACUGGGACUGAGACACGGCCCAGACUCCUACGGGAGGCAGCAGUAGGGAAUCUUCGGCAAUGGACGGAAGUCUGACCGAGCAACGCCGCGUGAGUGAAGAAGGUUUUCGGAUCGUAAAGCUCUGUUGCAAGAGAAGAACGAGUGUGAGAGUGGAAAGUUCACACUGUGACGGUAUCUUACCAGAAAGGGACGGCUAACUACGUG
rnacentral:rRNA from 1 species